GGCCUUUCCAAUCUUUACCUCUUUUACCAAGUAUCACAGAAGAAUUUUAUUUCAAGGGACCAAAGCAGUGGGAAGAGAAUGGGAGAGAGACUCUAAGAGAUGGCUUCUCAAAGACAUUAUUAUUUAAAGAGAAAAUUAGGAAGCAAGGAAAGACAGGAAGUCUGGACCCCUGAAAGUCCCCUGCAUUGCAUUAGUGGUUGAGCCCUGAGCCAAGUUCUCUGCAAAGGACAAUCUGCAACGGGCAUGUGGCACAUGUUCAGUCCUCUCUCCCAGAUAAAAGAAGUUCUCUAACAAGGAAUGAGUGGCAAGUGAGUGACUUGUGAACAGAAGACGGAAAUGUUCUUCCCGUAUCUUUCCCUCCGCAAGAGUGGACCACAAUGGUAUGUUCAACCCCUCCAAGAAAAAGAAAAAGAAAAGAAAAGUUUGUUGUGCAUGUCUGUAAUUUUAGGGACACGUAGAAAGCUCCCUGCUCCUCUAAACAGGGAGCAUUUUACCGGCAUUUUCACCAUUACCCUAUUACUUAUUUAACCAUUUCUUAUACACUUCUUUCCUCUCUCGAAAAUAUAGAAGAGUAGCCACUAAUUAUAUUUGUUAAUCAAGGGAUAAAAUUUUCAUUUCUGCACAGUGAAAUUGUAUGUUUCAAACUAUUUUGCUAAUCUGAAACUUAAUCCAU